GACGAACGUUGGCGGCGUGCUUAACACAUGCAAGUCGAACGGAAAGGCCCUGCUUUUGUGGGGUGCUCGAGUGGCGAACGGGUGAGUAACACGUGAGUAACCUGCCCUUGACUUUGGGAUAACUUCAGGAAACUGGGGCUAAUACCGGAUAGGAGCUCCUGCUGCAUGGUGGGGGUUGGAAAGUUUCGGCGGUUGGGGAUGGACUCGCGGCUUAUCAGCUCGUUGGUGGGGUAGUGGCUUACCAAGGCUUUGACGGGUAGCCGGCCUGAGAGGGUGACCGGCCACAUUGGGACUGAGAUACGGCCCAGACUCCUACGGGAGGCAGCAGUGGGGAAUAUUGCACAAUGGGCGGAAGCCUGAUGCAGCAACGCCGCGUGCGGGAUGACGGCCUUCGGGUUGUAAACCGCUUUCGCCUGUGACGAAGCGUGAGUGACGGUAAUGGGUAAAGAAGCACCGGCUAACUACGUG
rnacentral:rRNA from 1 species